AUUGAACGCUGGCGGCAGGCCUAACACAUGCAAGUCGAGCGGAUGAGAGGAGCUUGCUCCUCGAUUCAGCGGCGGACGGGUGAGUAAUGCCUAGGAAUCUGCCUAGUAGUGGGGGACAACGUUUCGAAAGGAAGGCUAAUACCGCAUACGUCCUACGGGAGAAAGUGGGGGAUCUUCGGACCUCACGCUAUUAGAUGAGACUAGGUCGGAUUAACUAGUUGGUAGGGUAACGGCCUACCAAGGCGGAGAUCCGUAACUGGUCUGCGAGGAUGAGCAGUCACACUGGAACUCAGACACGGUCCAGACUCCUACGGGAGGCAGCAGUGGGGAAUAUUGGACAAUGGGCGAAAGCCUGAUCCAGCCAUGCCGCGUGUGUGAAGAAGGCCCUCGGGUCGUAAAGCACUUUAAGUUGGGAGGAAGGGCUUACAGCGAAUACCUGUGAGUUUUGACGUUACCGACAGAAUAAGCACCGGCUAACUUCGUGCCAGCAGCCGCGGUAA
rnacentral:rRNA from 1 species